AGAGUUUGAUCCUGGCUCAGAACGAACGCUGGCGGCGUGCCUAACACAUGCAAGUCGAGCGCGAACGGCUCCUUCGGGAGCCUAGUAGAGCGGCGAACGGGUGAGUAACACGUGAGCAACGUACCUUCAGGUGGGGGAUAACUGUCCGAAAGGGCAGCUAAUACCGCAUAAGACCACAACCCCGCAUGGGGAAGAGGUCAAAGCUUUUGCGCCUGUCGAUCGGCUCGCGGCUCAUUAGGUAGUUGGUAGGGUAACGGCCUACCAAGCCAUAGAUGAGUAGCUGGUUUGAGAGAACGAUCAGCCACACUGGGACUGAGACACGGCCCAGACUCCUACGGGAGGCAGCAGUGGGGAAUCUUGCGCAAUGGAGGAAACUCUGACGCAGCAACGCCGCGUGUGUGAUGAAGGCCUUCGGGUCGUAAAGCACUGUCAGGAGGGGAGAAGUAUGACGGUACCUCCAAAGGAAGCACCGGCUAACUCCGUGCCAGCAGCCGCGGUAAUACGGAGGGUGCAAGCGUUGUUCGGAAUCAUUGGGCGUAAAGCGCGCGCAGGCGGUCUAUCAAGUCUGAUGUGAAAGCCCGGGGCUCAACCCCGGAAGGCCAUUGGAAACUGGUAGACUUGAGAGUGAGAGGGGUUAGUGGAAUUCCUGGUGUAGGGGUGAAAUCCGUAGAGAUCAGGAGGAACACCGGUGGC
rnacentral:rRNA from 1 species